CCGCCCGCCACGACGUGUCUCCCGCGCCGCGCCCCUUUCCGGUGAGCGGCCGCCCUCCGCUUUCCCUCCCUCCAGUAGUCCAGCCUCCACCCCCCCUGCGCGGUUGUUCGGUCGCCAUUAACUCGCACGCUGCCAAAAGCCACGGAGCCUUCAUCCCUCGGCUGCGGCCUGCGGCUCCUCCCCCCUUCUCUCCCGCGUCAGCGAGGCUCCGCCGCAGCCAUCUAUCUCGUCCCCGGCGUGCGGCGGUUACAGUGUCCCGUUCUCGCCCCUGCCCUCCGUGCUCGCGGAAGACCAAGCAGCACGGGUCAAGAGCCGCGACCGGUUCAAGUCAAGGCGGCGACUCGGACUCGACUCCUCCACGCGGUGCCUGCUGCCUUCCGGCGUCCGCCACCGGUGAUGUUCCUCGCUGCGUUAUCUGGUUGCUACUGAGACUCGCCGAGCAGAGGGGGAACUAGCAUCCAUGGACCUCGCCCGACGGGAGGCCGACCGGGGCGCCGCUCCGGAGUUCGUGGCGCUCGACAUCCGCGGCGAGGCGGAGUCGCCGGGGUCGGAGCCGGACCUGAUGAUGGAGCCCUCAUUCGCCGCUAAGGGGUUCGAGCGGGAGCGGAGCGGAGACGCCAAUUCUUCUUCCACCGGUGUGGCGGGUGUGCAUGAGAAGCAGGCGGUGCCGGUGCACGUAGAUGGCAGCCCGAGGGACCAGUACCUCCCCUCAACACCAAAGCGCCGCCGUGCGAGCCGGCGUGUUCCUGGAUGGCGUGAUCCCAGGAAAAUCCUCUUCGCCUUCGCAGCAUUGCUUGCAGAGUUGUGCAGCCAUAACUCUUUGUUGUGGUCGCCAACUUGGCAUUCUCAUUGGAGAGUGGCAGGGCGAACAUUCAGUACACAGUGCCAUAAAUUGACUGCAACUAAAGGAUUUCUGAAAGUCUGGAACAAUGAUUAAUCAGGGUGUAAUAAAGAAAACUCAAAUGAUGCUAACAACCAAAUAUUUGAAGAUAAUCAAGAGUUGUACAACCAUAUCUAUAGGUCCAGCGUGGGCACGUUGAUACUGCUCUACUUUACGCUCUCCAUGGGGAAGAUGACAGGAGGUCAAGCUGACGACCAGUGAGGCAGCGAUAAACUGAUACCAUUGCUUUUGCCUUGCUUGCCAUCGCAUUACUAAUGUUUGUACAGAAGAAAUUGAGAAAUGGGUGGAUGCUAAUGUAGAAAGCCAUACAUCAGUGUGGAUACCAGCAUGAUUUGAGACGUUUGUACAUAGGGACAGGAAAGGUUUUACAGAUAAAGUUUUUAAGGGAAGAGCCUUUUUUUUCUUUGAGCGUUGAACAGCUCUUACUUGAAUGUUUGGAUCCCCAGACUAAA